UACGUAGGGUGCGAGCGUUGUCCGGAAUUAUUGGGCGUAAAGGGCUCGUAGGCGGUCCAUCGCGUCGGGAGUGAAAAGCUGGGGCUUAACCCCAGUCCUGCUUUCGAUACGGGUGGACUAGAGGUAGGCAGGGGAGAAUGGAAUUCCUGGUGUAGCGGUGAAAUGCGCAGAUAUCAGGAGGAACACCGGUGGCGAAGGCGGGUCUCUGGGCCGAUACUGACGCUGAGGCGCGAAAGCUAGGGGAGCAAACGGG
rnacentral:rRNA from 1 species